AACUGUUCCCGCUCCGCCAUGACGGACGUCAAAACAACCAAUGCGCUCCUCUAAAGCCUGUCAAAAACACACAUGUGGAAAUGCAAUAUUGCUUUAAUUUAGUUGAUUUCACUAAUCAACUAACAGACAAGGAAAAGCUAAACWUGUCAUUUUAUYUUAUGAMUUUUAAAAGACGCAGCGGUGACAGCUGUUAAUCACAAUGACUGUCAGCCCUCGGUGUAACAGCGGAUUUGCAGCGAACACUUUUUACAGGGUGGUGACUUACAGCAGUAAGGCAGGCGUGUCAAACGAUCAAGAAUCAGAAAGAAGCCUGAGGCCGGGUCACGACCUGUCGGGAAGCAGAACCUCCGCAGCAACAAGGAAGAGAGCAGGGUGGAGGUCACGGAAAAUUUUCUUCAGCCGUCAUAAAAUGUAGCUCAUCAAUUUCCUGCUGAAACAAGCGCCUUCAAUGAAGGGUGCUGAUCCCAGACAGACUCUUUGGCACCAAAGAAGUCAGGUUGACUUUGACCUCAGGACCCCUCAGGGUACCGCUCCAUCCCAGGACAUCUGAACCAGCCUUCAGCAUCAUCCAGUUCCUCCAUCUCUGUUAAAGCACAAAGCUCUGAGCAUAUUACAGCACAGUGUGUGUCAUAAAUCAACUCAAAGAACUUCACUUUCUGAAUACCUGUCAAUGCUUGAUGCCACUCAGGAAAGGAGAAUGCCAUAUUGACCCUUUGCAGCUACGUCACUAAAUCAUUGGAGGCGC